rnacentral:lncRNA from 1 species
AUGCUCAGUAAUUUCGAUUGCUUAUCAGACAAAAUAAAUCCAUAUUCACUAACAUCCACUCGACCGCCAUGUCGUUAAACUGAGCAACACAUAUCCAAUCGACCGCCAUAUCGUUAAAUUAAGCAGCUUAUAUCCAAUCGACCGCCACGUCGUUAAACUGAGCAGCUUAUAUCCAAUCGACCGCCACGUAUAUCCAAUCUACCGCCACGUUGUUAAACUGAGCAGCCCAUAUCCAAUCGACCGCCACGUCGUUAAACUGAGCAGCCCAUAUCCAAUCGACCGCCAUGUCGUUAAACUUAGCAGCUUAUAUCCAAAUUUGGACAGAGUUCUAAAUUAUAUACUUAGAAUUCAAUCAAAUGAUAUCAAAUUUAUUCUAACUCUAACACAUAUACUUAGAGUUCAUCCGACUAACCCUAAUACAUACCC